rnacentral:rRNA from 1 species
UACGAAGGGGCUAGCGUUGUUCGGAAUUACUGGGCGUAAAGCGCGCGUAGGCGGUGAUCUUUGUCAGAGGUGAAAUCCCGGGGCUCAACUCCGGAAUUGCCUUUGAAACGGGAUCGCUUGAGUCCGAGAGAGGAUGGCGGAAUUCCUAGUGUAGAGGUGAAAUUCGAUAGAUAUUAGGAAGAACACCGGUGGCGAAGGCGCCAUCUGGCUCGGUACUGACGCUCAGGCGCGAAAGCGUGGGGAGCAACAGG